UCGUUCUCACUUCUCUCUCUCUCAGACUCCGACUCUCCCUCUCUCGGUCUCUCCGACUUCUCCUUCUCUUCUCCAGUUCUCCGUCUGUGACUGCGUUUUUCCUAGUUCCGUCGUCCGCGGCCGUGGGACACUUCAGCCUUCAAGGUCAGCGACUCAGCCGGCUGCUCCGCCUUCAGCCGAAGGUUCCUGCCUGUGCCUGUGCUCUCCGCUCUUGCGUCUGCGUGUGCUCUCUGCUUCAGCCUUCUGGCGCUUCUCCCUUCAAGCUGACCAAGACGCUUUUCCCUCUCCGUCUCCUCGGACACAUCCGAAUGCCUCUCCCUGGUUCCCACGAAGAACCAGAUACACUUGUUGCGCUCUGCUCAUCUCUUUUGCAGCGUGAGCCUGGGAGUCCAGUUCUAUGGUGCAAUUUUCCUACUUAUCUGCUAUUUUCCUCCCAACCAGUUAGAUGGCAGCUCUGAGUAUUCUGCUUUGCCUUCAUCUGUGUUUUAUUUGCAGUGUAUCUUCUGAGCUUGGAACUACAUCUGAUAUGAAGGAACUGUCUGUUGGACUAGAAUUGCAUAAUGAAACUUUACCUUUACAAAUGGGUAGCCGCUAUUACAAGUUAAUUGGUCUGAAACCUCUACAUUGGUAUGAAGUGAAGAUAUCUUACCCUGCUUCUCAAGUUUUUCCAUUGAAUUGAAGAGGGGGAACUUUGAACAAGAACGUGCUUUUAGUCUCAGAAGAUUGCUUAACACUGAGAAGCUGAUUUUCAGAUCUGGAGGUCACAGUUUGGAGAACAAUGAAGACACAAGUGAGGGUGCUUUAGUGUAUGUUCAGCCGGAAGGUGUUGUUGCAAAGCCACAUCUAAAGGAUAUGUUUAACAUUGGUAAGGAAUUUACACGAUUAAUCAGCUGCCCUACCAUAGGUACUGAAUUAUUUCCUAAGUAUGGCAGAACACAAAUGGGUGCUAAAGGUAUAUUGUUACUGUCUCAGUCACUGCAACUGAUGACUUGAUCUUUGGCUUUUGUCAUUUGGCUGCCCACUCGAUUGAGCUCCUAAAUUUGUGAAGACCCUUUUUUCCAAUUGGCAAAGGGGAGUAGGCUGACCCUACCAGAUUAUGCCAAGAGAUACACUCGGGGCAUUGAAUUGUUGAGCUUCUUCAACUCGAAGGUCUUAAACUCAUACUUCUCAUGUUGGCGACUUAAUGCAGACUGUUGAUCUAUAUUUAUUAUCCCAAUAAAAGCAUUAUAUGAUUUGCCAUGAAUAAAUAUUGAUGAACAAAUUCAAUACAUACAAAGAGUUCAUCCUCUUCAAUUUACCUUUUUCUGUCUUGAAAGACGAAACAAAUGGUGGAUCUGGGUAAUUCCAAAUAAGUUCUUUUGUAUACUUACUAGUUUCAAUUUUUGUUCCCAAAUGCAGUAUGUGAUGAACUUUUACUUGGGAUUCCAUACAAGGCUUGGUGGGUUGGAAUUUUAGCAAUCCUUUGUAUCGCAUUUGUAUUUGUUCUUUCUUCUGUGCUUCCAUCACGUUUGCUCCACAAGGGUCAAAAGUCUGCAAGGCUGAAUGAGAUAUUAGCAUCAAAAGUGUCAUGAAGAAACUUUUUCAGAUCAUUGCUUUCCUCAUGAAGGUCCUUUGACUUCGUGUUGGAAUACAUAUCUAUUUUUUAUCUGCCAUUUCAAGUAGCACACAGCACUGGCAUGAUAUCCUAUAAUCCUACUGGAGAUUUUCUUAGCUAGUGACGAUGAUUAAAUAGGUGACAAUAUAACAAGCAGGUCUGUGAUUCCGUAGAAACCAUCAGAAGCAAAAGCAAAUGACAAUUUUUUCUGGUUUCUCUUCUAAUAGCUCAAACUACUAGCUAUGGGGCAAGGAAAACUUUCGGCUGAUUUUAUUUAUUUUAUUUUCUUUCCAGGGUGAAAAUGAAUGGUGACUGGGUUACUGCUACUCCGGACGUAUACCAAGUCGCUCUUGGCAUGGACGCAGAAUUUUUAAUCCUGGCAUCAGAUGGCCUCUGGGAUUACAUGAGCUGGUUUGCAAAAGUCAAACAUGUUGAACUCUUUUAGUCAUAUGAUUGUUUUGGUCACUAAUAUUUUCAUGUUGAUGCUUUCAGUUUAGAUGUUGUACGAUUUGUUAGAAAUCAACUUCGUCAGCAUGGUGAUGUUCAGGCAAAUAUUUUGGUGGUUCCCAUUUUCUGCUGAAAUAUUAAGCAAUGACUGACCUGCAUUUCAUUUUUCUUGCAGUCCGCUUGUGAAGCUAUGGCCCUUGCUGCCUUGGUACUUGACCAUACAUGUCUAGUAUUGAGUUCAUAUAAUGCAUAUGUUUCAUCCCUUUUCUCACUGGACAAAUGCUCAAUUAUGUUUUUCAGGAUCGAAAGUCACAGGACAAUGUAAGCAUUGUUAAAAUGGUCUCCUGGAUUUCAUAAAGCUUAUUACUGCAUGUUGUAUAACAUCAUCAUUCAGAAUAUCAGGCUUGGUCCGAUUGGCUAUAAAUAAGCAUAUGUACAUAAUGUCAUAAUUUAGAUAAUUGCAUGCCUUCUACCAUGCACGUUAAGCUACUAAUGCUUUUUUAUGUCAUUCUUGGUGAGUGAAGUAUGACUUCAUUGUAUUUGCAGAAGAACGAAUUGUCCGGCAAUGCCUCCUGAUCAAGAUCAAGUGAACAUCUUCAUUGAAUUCAGCCAAGCUUUUGCUAUUAUAGGGAUAGUAUCAUUGGGAAUCUGGUUGUCACAUCAGUUUGUUGCAUGAAGUUGCAGUCUUUAAGAUAUGGAUGUAGAUAACAUGCAAAGAUCCUCACAUCAUCUUUGUAAAUCAUUAUAUCCAUAGACAUUCUGAAUAUCAUGUGACAUCAUAUUCCAUUGAGCAAUCUUUGGAAAUGGCACUUGUGAACGUGUCAUGUAUUUUUCUUUCUACUUUUCUAUUGAAAAUCAAUUAGGCUAUUUUCUGCAAGAUUUCCACACAACCAGUAUUUAAAGUUCAUAUGCUUCUGUCACUUUCCAUUUGGAAGUGGUGGUAGUUAAUACUAUUUCAGUCACCAUUUUUUACUCUUAGGUGAACUAGUUGCUCCAUCUCAUUGCCAUUUGAUGUCUGAUGCAUCCACAUUGAAGCGUAUCUGAGAGUUUUUCCAAGUUCACAUUUCAAAGCUAUGUCAACAGAUAGUUUCACUUGGCUUUCACGUCCUGCAUUGACACUAAUUUUUUGGACACAGAAAUUCCUGAAAACACAGAAAAACUCAUUAUGUAUUAGUGGAUGAUGUAUGAUGACUUAUCAUUAGCACCAAGAAUUUGCACAUCCCUUUUCUAGUGCUUCUCCUGGCUGUUUGGUUUUUACCUGCAUCUGCGCCACUUAAAAAUUAGUGUAUUUGGAUAGCUAGUGUGCUUACACGAGCUUCAUUUGUUCAGACUUUUAUUUUAAUUCAAUAUUUUAAUGUAUAUAGGUAAAUUCAAGGAGGCAUUUGACAUCUUAUGCAAAAUGCAAAAUGCUGGGGUACAGCCUGACAAGGUUACUUGCAAUAUUCUUGUCCAUAAGUGUUCAAUAGCAAGGGAAAUGUUUGUUCUGAUUCUAACUCUUCAGUAUAUGAAAGAAAAUUCACUUGUUCUUCGUCGACCCAUGUAUUUGGAAGCAUUGGAGGCUUUGAGAAGCUGUGGUCAAAAUGAUGAACUGUUAAAUGAAGUCAAUCCCCAUUUCUGCCAUGAAGGCUUUGAUGAUUGUAGAUGUGAUCUUUCUCCAGACCCUCAGCAUUAUGCAGACAGGGGAGUUCUUGUAAACUUAUAAACUGUAAAUGGUUGCAUGGUAGAGUCGGAAAGCUUUCCCUUAAGAGUGUUAGUUCCAUUAUUUCAUCAAUCACUGAAGAUGACUUUGAUAUUGAUGCGUAGAACUUAUUCUUAUGUUGGUUACAGGUA